CUGCAACACUAGCUGAGUUUGAGGACCCAUCACCUUUCCUUUCAUCAUUCUGCUUCUUAUUAGGACAGUCUCUCUUAAAGUGGCCCAUCUGAUGGCAUUUGUAGCACUUCACGUUUUUCUUAUUUUGAUUUCUAGAUUUUGAUCUUGUGUUCCCUCUAAAAGAAACACCCCUGUCCUUCCUUCUCCCACGAUCCUGGUAGCCCUUUACGAUCAACCCUUCACCCUGUGAAGUUUCACCAGUACGCAGUUUUCGCUGGUUGUAGGCUAACAGGGCUGAUGUGACUUCCUCCAAUUCGAGAGUCUCUUUACCCCACGUCAACGUGGUCACCAGAUGGUCGUACGAAGGAGGCAGUGAACACAACAAAAUCAUUGCCUUGUCUUCAUCAUCAAACUUGAUUUCAAGUCGCAAUAGAUCGCUGAUGAUUUGAUUGAACACAUUGGUGUGUUGAAUCAGAUCCGAACCCUCCAACAUCUUCAGCCCGUACAGCCGCUGCUUUAGAUGCAGCUUGUUCGUGAGAGACUUCGACAUAUAACGACUCUCCAAUUUCUCCCAAACCUCCGCCGGAGACUCAACGUCCAUUACGUGAUACAUGAUUUCGUCCGCCAAACAAAGCCGAAUUGUACUAACUGCUCGCGCCUCGAGCUCUUCCCAAUCGGCAUCUGACGUACCCUCUGGUUUCUUCCCAGAUAGUGCCUUCAUCAUCCCUUGCUGCGCCAACAAAUCCUUCACCCUUCGCUGCCAUAAUCCGAAGUUUCCAGAUCCGUCAAACUUCAUCACAUCAAAUUUUGCAAUCGAAGAACUCGCCAUGUGAACUUGGCUCUGAUACCAGUUGUUGGAUUUUAUGCGCAAAAUUAAAGAGAUGAAAAACAGAAAUCAACACAAGAAUUUUACGUGGUUCGGCGAUGUGCCUACGUCCACGAGAGCGAAGCGAAGAUUUCUUUAUUCAAUCGUGAAAAAUAGGGUUACAACAUAUUAUUUAUACUAACCCUAAUUUGGGCCCAUAAAAGACUUUAAGGCCCGUACAGAAAAUACUCCUGUACCGUACCGCGGGGGCGUUGCCCCCGCACCCCCAACCCAUUCAGCAUCCCUAACAACUAGAGAGUGAAUUAAACUUGUGCAAGGCCGAUGCCGUCGCUCCACUCCAUUCCGUUUGAUGCGCUCCGUUCCGCACCGGCAUCGCCCCAUUUGAUCCAGGGGCUGUGUUCCACUCUAUAUGAGCCACAUGCUCCAUAGAACAGUAUAGAGUUGAAUCAUAUAAAAGAUCUGUUGGAUAUUGGUUAAAUAAAUCGAGAAUUGAAAAUCGAUUAAAGUGAUUUCGUAUCGACUUCGGCCAAAUACUCAAAAGCUCGACUCAAUCCGUUUAGGCAAAAUUGUUUGCCACUUCGCCGCUUCGGGGCGCACAAACGGGGAUCGACCUGGGGCAACGCCCCCGAAAAAGAAUUUUGAUUUCUCUGCAUGUAUUGAAGGGUAUAUUUGGCAUUUCGAAAACCAAUAUCGGAUGAAUGAGAAAUUACGAAAAAGGACGAAAAUCAGGUCAAAAUAUUUGACCGUGCGACCGCAUGGUUGGUAAACCGCACGGUUGUCCGGUGAAUAGACACAUUUUCAUAAAGGUGCAUUGUUUGGAAAGGGUGCAUGGUUUGGCAUCAACCAUUUCGUCCACACCCUUUCAUGGUCUAUAAAUAGGACCCUUUGGGUGUCCUAUUCCUCACAAUUUGAUAUGCAAAACAUCUCUCAUCCUCUCUUCUAUCCAAAAUCAAAAUCAUUUCAUUUAUUUUGAUUUUCCUUCAUUUCAUCCUUGGAGUACAUAAGCCUAAAUUUGGUUCGUUGUACUUGUGUUUUGAAGUGCUACAAACACAAGUGUAGCCGUUGUAUCUUGGGAGUCGAUUACCAAA
rnacentral:lncRNA from 1 species